GAUGAACGCUGGCGGCGUGCCUAAUACAUGCAAGUCGAGCGAACAGACGAGGAGCUUGCUCCUCUGGCGUUAGCGGCGGACGGGUGAGUAACACGUGGAUAACCUACCUAUAAGACUGGGAUAACUUCGGGAAACCGGAGCUAAUACCGGAUAAUAUAUUGAACCGCAUGGUUCAAUAGUGAAAGACGGUUUUGCUGUCACUUAUAGAUGGAUCCGCGCCGCAUUAGCUAGUUGGUAAGGUAACGGCUUACCAAGGCAACGAUGCGUAGCCGACCUGAGAGGGUGAUCGGCCACACUGGAAUUGAGACACGGUCCAGACUCCUACGGGAGGCAGCAGUAGGGAAUCUUCCGCAAUGGGCGAAAGCCUGACGGAGCAACGCCGCGUGAGUGAUGAAGGUCUUCGGAUCGUAAAACUCUGUUAUUAGGGAAGAACAAAUGUGUAAGUAACUAUGCACGUCUUGACGGUACCUAAUCAGAAAGCCACGGCUAACUACGUG
rnacentral:rRNA from 1 species